UACGGGGGGGAGCAAGCGUUGUUCGGAUUUACUGGGCGUAAAGGGUGUGUAGGUGGCGCGCUAAGUCGGGUGUGAAAUUUCGGAGCUUAACUCCGAAACUGCAUUCGAUACUGGCGUGCUUGAGGACUGGAGAGGAGACUGGAAUUCAUGGUGUAGCAGUGAAAUGCGUAGAGAUCAUGAGGAAGACCAGUGGCGAAGGCGGGUCUCUGGACAGUUCCUGACACUGAGACACGAAGGCCAGGGGAGCAAACGGG
rnacentral:rRNA from 1 species